AUAAAGUUUUAUUUUAGCUUAAAAAUUUAUUAUUAAUUUAAUUUAUAUGUAAAUUUUUGUGUGAAUUUUUAAUUAUUUAAAUAAUAAUUAAUAUAUUUUUAUUCGCAAUAAUUAAUAUUAUUCGUUAAAGAAAUUUAGAUAAAGUAAUAUUAAAGAAUAUUGAUUAAAUUUGUGCCAGCAAUCGCGGUUAUACAAAUAAUGUAAAUAAAUUUUAUUAAUUAAAGUUAAAUUGUUUUAUUAAAUAAAGAAUAAAUUUAUUAGGUGAAAUUAUUAAAUUUAUAAAUUUUUUGUUAAAAAUAAUUGAAGCUUGAAAAUUUUAUAAAUAAACUAGGAUUAGAUACCCUAUUAUUAAAAAUGUAAAUUAUAAAAAUUAAGGUAGUAGUAGAUAUGUUCUUGAAACUUAAAAAAUUUGGCGGUAUUUUAGUCUAUUCAGAGGAACCUGUUUUAUAAUCGAUAAUCCACGAUGGACCUUACUUGAAUUUGUUAUCAGUUUAUAUACCGUCGUUAUUAGAAUAUUUUAUAAAAAUGUUAAUAUUCUUAAUUUAAUAAAAUAAAAUAUAUCAGAUCAAGGUGUAGCUUAUAUUUAAGUAAAAAUGGGUUACAAUAAAAUUAUUUAAAUGAAUAUAAAUUUGAAAUGUUUAUUGAAGGUGGAUUUGAUAGUAAAAUUAUAAAGAUUAAUAAUUUGAUUUUAGCUCUAAAAUAUGUACACAUCGCCCGUCACUCUUAUUAUUAAGAUAAGAUAAGUCGUAACAUAGUAGAUGUACUGGAAAGUGUAUCUAGAAUGCA
rnacentral:ncRNA from 1 species